GCCCGCUGCCAGCCUUGGGGGGGCUCAAAAGUGGCCAGCCGGUCAGCUCUUGAGCCCCCCAGGAUGCGAGGCAAGCAAGGGAUCUGCCUGGGGGUUUGGAGGGAUGCUUUUUUUUGCCGCCCCCUGCAAAGUGGCGCCCAAGGCAGAUGCCUUGUUUGCCUUGUGAUACACACGUCCCCGGUGCCUGUGUGUGUUACUGUAUUCAGGCAACUUGGUG